GUAGGGAAUCUUCCACAAUGGGCGCAAGCCUGAUGGAGCAACACCGCGUGAGUGAAGAAGGGUUUCGGCUCGUAAAGCUCUGUUGUUAAAGAAGAACACGUAUGAGAGUAACUGUUCAUACGUUGACGGUAUUUAACCAGAAAGUCACGGCUAACUACGUGCCAGCAGCCGCGGUAAUACGUAGGUGGCAAGCGUUAUCCGGAUUUAUUGGGCGUAAAGAGAGUGCAGGCGGUUUUCUAAGUCUGAUGUGAAAGGCUUCGGCUUAACCGGAGAAGUGCAUCGGAAACUGGAUAACUUGAGUGCAGAAGAGGGUAGUGGAACUCCAUGUGUAGCGGUGGAAUGCGUAGAUAUAUGGAAGAACACCAGUGGCGAAGGCGGCUACCUGGUCUGCAACUGACGCUGAGACUCGAAAGCAUGGGUAGCGAACAGGAUUAGAAACCCUGGUAGUCC
rnacentral:rRNA from 1 species